rnacentral:tRNA from 1 species
GCGAAGGUGGCGGAAUUGGUAGACGCGCUAGCUUCAGGUGUUAGUGUCUUAACGGACGUGAGGGUUCAAGUCCCUCUCUUCGCACCAAAA